rnacentral:lncRNA from 1 species
GGUCGAUCCCACAGAGACUUGAUUUAAAAAUAAUUUUCAAAUCUAUGCUCAAGUGAGCUUUAACAAAAAUCGAAAGUCGAAAGUUGUUUGCUAAAGACAAUAAGACUAAGGAUCUAGGGUUUUUGAAUCCACUAGAUCUAGAUUAGAAAAUUCUACCUAGAAUUUUUCUUAUUGAUCCUAACGACUACUCCUCUUGUCUUUCCCAAGCAUAGAUUAUGAAGGGACUAAGGCCCAACGAUAAUCCAUCAAGAUUCUUUACAAGGGAGUAGUAACUAGGAUCCCUUAGGAUUUUCUCCUCCUAUGCACUGAAUCAAGCAUGAACUAUGAAGCGACUCUGACCCAACUGUAGUUCAUCAAAAAUUUUUGAUAAAAGAGGAAGAAAAAGAAACCCUAAGAAAAAGAAAUAACCCUAUGUAAAAUUCCUACUCAUGAUCUAGCUUCAUCGCAAACCCUAGAAGGGAUGCUUAGCUAGACAUGAUCUAAAUCUACAUGCAAAAUUUCAAUGCAAAAAAAUAAACUACCCUAAUUUCAUAAAUUAAACUAUCCUAAUUGCAUAAAUUUAAACUGCAUAAUUUAAACUAAUCUAAUUGCAUAAAAUUUAAAUUGCAUAAAUUAAACUAUCCUAAUUGCAAGAAAAAGAAAUUGCAUAAUGUAAAGAGAUGAAAUUGCAUAAAAACAAGAUUUUAUAUAAAAAAAAUUAUUACAAAAAUCUCAAAGCUCAAGGCUUGAGAAGAGAGCUAAAAACCUCACUAUCUAGGGUUACAAGCUUGAUCGGAAGGAAGAAUACAUAAAACAAGGGCCUUUGGGGGCUUUUUAUAGGCAUUUGGGGGUUAUAAGGUUUUCAAAACUUUAGAUGUGGGACUAAGAGGUUUUAGAGGAUUGUUAGGGAGAUUUAUGGUACGCCGAUGGGUCCAUGGUCCAUGCGUCUGUUGCUGUGGACCAGGCGGCUAACCNNNNNNNNNNNNNNNNNNNNCCUCUUUCCUUGUUCUUUCUAUUGAUGAUCUCUUCUUCUGCAAAAUAUAAUAAUAAGUAUCAAUUUCUUAAUAAAGUUAGAUAAUUUAGAUAUUAAUUGAUACUUUUUAUGUCAAUUUGUGACAUAAAUC